GACGAACGCUGGCGGCGUGCUUAACACAUGCAAGUCGAACGGAAAGGCCCUGCUUUUGUGGGGUGCUCGAGUGGCGAACGGGUGAGUAACACGUGAGUAACCUGCCCUUGACUUUGGGAUAACUUCAGGAAACUGGGGCUAAUACCGGAUAGGAGCUCCUGCUGCAUGGUGGGGGUUGGAAAGUUUCGGCGGUUGGGGAUGGACUCGCGGCUUAUCAGCUUGUUGGUGGGGUAGUGGCUUACCAAGGCUUUGACGGGUAGCCGGCCUGAGAGGGUGACCGGCCACAUUGGGCCUGAGAUACGGCACAGCCUACUACGGGAGGCAGCAGUGGGGAAUAUUGCACAAUGGGCGGAAGCCUGAUGCAGCAACGCAGCGCGCGGGAUGACGGCCUUCGGGUUGUAAACCGCUUUCGCCUGUGACGAAGCGUGAGUGACGGUAAUGGGUAAAGAAGCACCGGCUAACUACGUG
rnacentral:rRNA from 1 species